UACAGAGGUCCCAAGCGUUUGUUCGGAUUCAUUGGGCGUAAAGGGUGCGUAGGCGGUGGGGUAAGUUGGAUGUGAAAUCUUGGGGCUUAACCUCAAAAUUGCAUUCAAUACUGCUCCGCUCGAGUUCUGUAGAGGAGAUUGGAAUUUACGGUGUAGCAGUGAAAUGCGUAGAUAUCGAGAGGAACACCUGCGGCGAAGGCGGGUAGCUGGGCCGACACUGACGCUGAUGCGCGAAAGCCAGGGGAGCGAACGGG
rnacentral:rRNA from 1 species